UCGAGUGCUGCUAAAACUAGCAUUAGCAUGGCUCUGAUCUCGCACAUGAAAGCGAGACACGCCAGACUCGCCUCGGUCGACUGCUGAUUCCUCCUGUGUCUAGACAAACACAAUGCUUGGCAGAGAGUCCCUCCGCUUAAGUAUGGGGUGGUCGCCAUGGAGACCACACACUAAACACCGUCUUCUAUUCGUCUGCCCAAAUGGGAGCGCGUGAAGGCCACGCCACCUCAGGAAUCCAAUACAAAAAGCAUCAGAAAUAAAAGCUGUGAAUCUUCCUGCCAGAUCAGGACUCGAUUCAUUCUGAGCACAGCAGAAGUAUGUGGAUGCUGUUCCACUUUGACCUUAAAAAUGUUGUCAAAAUAAAAGUUUCCUUUUUAAAAGC